GCAAAAAUGUGCAGGAAAGUUCAAGUUCAUACAUAUAGUUUGUGGGAAAUGUUAGAAUUAGUCUUUUGUUCAUAAUUUUGUAUAUGGGUGGCUUCUACCUGAAGCCAUUUUACAUAGGAGCUUUACCUUGGUACUUUCUUGAUGAAAUCUUUUUAUCAUUCAAAAAAUGAAAGUGUUGACAAAUAUGAAUUGGUCGGUUGUUUGUGGGUUCUGUUAUACCGAGUUUGAUGGGUGAAUACAGAAUACUAGAUUACUUAAAGUAUGGUUUAAACCUGAGCUAUGUUCUUGCGCCUACACUUUUUAAGAUUUAUGUUAAAAGUUGGUUUUUGAUCAUCGUACUGGAAGCUUUGUGCUAGUUGACCAAAUAUUUCGAUUAAAAACGUGAGGAUAUGAUCAGAUGGUGUAACUUGAGCUGAGUGGUGUCACAGUCAGGUUUAUUGAGUAGUUACUAUGCAUUCUCAUGGGCUUGGAUUGAAUUAAUUUGUCUUAUGGUUUUUGUUAAACUAUGUGUGUUGUAGGUUAGGUGGCAAAUACCUGGUCAUGCUGCAGUCAAGUUGAGAACCGUACUGUAGCUUGACGGGUGGUAGUUUUUUUUUAAUGUAAGGUGUUCUGUUACUCGUCGGAUUUACCUGUGGUUUGGUUUCUAAAAGAAGCUUGUGAGAGAGAGAUAUGGUGACAGGCUUUUUUCAGAGAGCUAAUAAGAAAUUGAAAAAAGAAGAAUCAAUGUGCA